rnacentral:rRNA from 1 species
GCCAGACUCUACGGGAGGCAGCAGUGAGGAAUAUUGGUCAAUGGACGAGAGUCUGAACCAGCCAAGUAGCGUGAAGGAUGACUGCCCUAUGGGUUGUAAACUUCUUUUAUAAAGGAAUAAAACGAGGCACGUGUGCCUUUUUGCAUGUACUUUAUGAAUAAGGAUCGGCUAACUCCGUGCCAGCAGCCGCGGUAAUACGGAGGAUCCGAGCGUUAUCCGGAUUUAUUGGGUUUAAAGGGAGCGUAGGUGGAUUGUUAAGUCAGUUGUGAAAGUUUGCGGCUCAACCGUAAAAUUGCAGUUGAAACUGGCAGUCUUGAGUACAGUAGAGGUGGGCGGAAUUCGUGGUGUAGCGGUGGAAUGCUUAGAUAUCACGAAGAACUCCGAUUGCGAAGGCAGCUCACUGGACUGCAACUGACACUGAUGCUCGAAAGUGUGGGUAUCAAACAGGAUUAGAUACCCGCGUAA